rnacentral:rRNA from 1 species
UUUGUCUUUAGGCAAAUGUGAGAUGCAGUGUAUGGAAUGUCAAAUUUCUAGUAUGAGAAAUUAACGAUUUAAGUCCUUCUUAAAUGAGGCCAUUUACCCAUAGAGGGUGCCAGGCCCGUAUAACGUUAAUGAUUACUAGAUGACAUUUCCAAAGAGUCGUGUUGCUUGAUAGUGCAGCACUAAGUGGGUGGUAAACUCCAUCUAAAACUAAAUAUAACCAUGAGACCGAUAGCAAACAAGUACCGUGAGGGAAAGUUGAAAAGAACUCUGAAUAGAGAGUUAAAUAGUACGUGAAACUGCUUAGAGGUUAAGCCCGAUGAACCUGAAUAUCCAUUAUAAAAAAUUCAUCAUUAUGAUUGUUUUAUUAUAAUAAUGGUGUGCAUUUUUUUUAUAAAAGGACAUUGUAAUCUAUUAACAUGAAAUAUUUAUCAUAAGAUCGUAAAAGUUUAUUCAAAUUAUUAUGCUUUUCAUUUUAACAUAGAAUAAAUGCAUUUGAUUUGAUAAAGUGUUGAUAGAUUUUAUAUAGUGCUUAAAUAAUAUAUUUUAUAGAGGCAUAMUUAAUUUUUABRUUUAUCACAUGCACUUAUAUGAUUAACAAUGCGAAAGAUWCNCGAKACCUUCKGGACMCGUCUUGARACACGGACCMMGGAGUCUCACAUAUAUGCAAGUUAUUGKGAAAUAAACCUAAUAGCGUAAUUAACAUAACAUUAUGGGAUUAGUUUUUAAUACUUUAUUAAUUCAAUCCCGGGGCGUUCUAAUUAGUUAUGUAUAAUGAUAUUUUAUAUUAUUUAUACCUCUAACUAGAGCGUACCUUGAGCAUAUAUGCUGUGACCCGAAAGAUGGUGAACUAUACUUGAUCAGGUUGAAGUCAGGGGAAACCCUGAUGGAAGACCGAAACAGUUCUGACGUGCAAAUCGAUUGUCAGAAUUGAGUAUAGGGGCGAAAGACCAAUCGAACCAUCUAGUAGCUGGUUCCCUCCGAAGUUUCCCUCAGGAUAGCUGGUGCAUUUAAAAUUUAUGUAAAAUAAUCUUAUCUGGUAAAGCGAAUGACUAGAGGCCUUAGGGUCGAAACGAUCUUAACCUAUUCUCAAACUUUAAAUGGGUAAGAACCUCACCUUUCUUGGUAUGAAGGUAGUGGUUGUGAUAUAAUGUGCCCAGUGGGCCACUUUUGGUAAGCAGAACUGGCGCUGUGGGAUGAACCAAACGUAAUGUUACGGUGCCCAAAUUAACAACUCAUGCAGAUACCAUGAAAGGCGUU